UUUCAAUAAUUCAUAUAAAAAAUAAAAAAUAAUUAUUUUUAUCAGAUCCGAUGAAUCUGCCUCACUCACACCGCCGUUCCUCUCUCACUCCUUCACGCCUCUCAACAUCUCACAUCCAUCUUGGUCUGUCUCCUCAAUCUUCACCUCCGCCUCUCAAUAUCUCAGAUGGGCGACACCGCCUGUGGUGAUGGAGAUGGACAACGUCGCCCGCCUGCCUGAAGGACGAUGACGACGACAGCACGACGGUGCUUAUGGACGACGAUAUAGAUCUGGAUCCGCAUCAGAUUGAAGAGACCGCAUCCUUGUCCAGAUCCUCGUCCUUAGAGAUAGUUCCGGGUUGUUUGGUUCUUGAAUCGGAAAGACGGCACAGCGGUGCUUAUUGACGACGUCGCCCACCUCCCUCUUCCAAUCUAUCGUCCGACGGCCCCGACGAUACAGAUCUGGAAUCGCAUCAGAUAGAAGAUACCGCAUCCUCAUCCAUAGAGAUAGUUCCGGGAUGUUUGGUUCUCUCGCAAAUCGGGAACGGGUAGCGCGUCCCUCACCACUUCCCUCGCUAGGGCUGUUGCUCCAACCAGAGGACUGCCUCCGCUAGGCUGCAGACUUUGAUGUAGAAGCAGCUGAGCAUGGAAUUGUGUAUAUUGAUGAAGUUGAUAAGAUAACUAAGAAGGUUGACUCUAGGUUGCUCCUACAAGAAACAAGGAUUCGUUUAGGAUUGUUCAUAAAUGGGUGAAAUUAGAUAUCUGCAAACAGUAACUUGUGCCAAGUAGAAAGUACUUUACCUUUCUCGUUCGAAUACCUUUCAGGCUCACUUCAAGUUGAUUCUCCAGAUUUGUUAGAUCUUUGAUGCUUAGUCCAGAAAGUUCUUUUCCCAAAAGCUGCCUGCAUUUAUGUGAAACAAAGAACUGGUAUGCUUCUUGUCUCUUGCUUUUGCUUCAUUUAGCUUUCACCUUAUCUUGA